rnacentral:tRNA from 1 species
GUCGCAUAGCUCAGUUGGGAGAGCACCUGCCUUACAAGCAGGGGGUCAUAGGUUCGACUCCGAUAAGCGGCACCA